CAUCUCCCAGAGUAGGAGGGGCGUGCAGAGCUGAGAUGCUGCAUUAUGCAUCGCUUUCCCACGAAACCUUAGUGUAUCACCACACCACCGAACCUCGGUGCCUAGGAGAACAACCGUAAAAAAGUGCUUAGAUGAUACAGAAACAAUAUGUGAAAUAAUUAAACGGAGCACGAACGGAGCACCAACCAUCACUUUUCAAAUUAAUGCUUUUUUCAACUCGGUUAGAAAAUGAGUGCACGUUUAUGUUCAUGAUAAAAAAAAAAAAAUAGGUUGCUGAUCGUUGUUGCCAUAACGGAUAUAUCGGCUCUGCUCCGCGCUCUGCUUUCCGAGCAGAUGAUCCAAGGUUCAGGAGAAGACCAACAGAAGAGCUCUUCUUAAAAUUGCCAUGCACCUAACAAGGAUUAGUUUACUUCUGCUCUUAACCGGAAUCGCCAAAGGUUGGGAUUGCGGCGCUGGGUGCAACACUGAGAACGGGUUGUGUGUGAAACCAGGAGAGUGCAGGUGCAAGCCAGGCUGGUCCGGGAGGACAUGCGACCAGUGCAUCCCCUUCCCUGGCUGUCUGCACGGUGCAUGUGAGAAGGCAUGGCAGUGUGUCUGUGAAGAGGGCUGGGGGGGCAGCCACUGUGACCAAAGUGGGUGCAAUCCCUCCCCCCUCCCAAACCAUCACCAUCAAAAUAUAUGCAGAGCAGUCUAGGCUGAUCAGAUCAUGUUUGUGGUUUGUAACAGAUCUGGUGUUAUAUUGUUUUUAUUCCUCAAAUUUCUUGUCUGGGAUUAUUCUUAAAUUGUAUGACUGGAGACGAAGAACAAUGUAAAAUGUAUCCCAGAGAAGGAAUAUGAUAUACACUUUUACUUACUAAAUACAAUGAAUAAUACUAAGAAUAAUUCACUUAAUAGUAAGUAAUUGAAGAGCUUAUUGUUUUUGCACUCCUUAUGGAAUCCUUGAAGCUGUUGAAAAUAGCAAGCUAUUAUCAGACAUAUGCACAGGCGAUAAAUACAGUGAGUGUAAAAAGAAAGAGAUCCUGUCUGCUCCAGGCUCUGUCUGCUCUGCUUAUCUCUAUUUGUAUAUUGAUAUAAAUAUACUGCUGUCUCUGUAUAGAGGC